UUGAUUAAUAGGCCCUACCUCUGGAAAGGGACCUGAUGAAACCCAUGAAUAGCCUGGAGUGGACUAUUCUGGCCUAUUUGUGUAGGUCUGCCAUCCAGGCGUAGCCGGACAGAUACGACGUGCAGGGCUGAAGGGCUGCCACGACAAGCAAAAAUGAACGGGAGUGACAACUAUGUAAGCCAAUGAUGUAUGCGCAGAAACACAUGCGUCCAAUGAAAUCACUAAAGGAAUGUCCAUCCAACCCCCCGGAAGAAAAUAUGGCGAAACAUCACCGAGAGUGUAGAAGACAAUGCACCCAGAGCCAUUCUGUCAAGCAGCCAUUCUGCAGAAGAGGCGGUGGAAAGGCAUGCUGUGGUUGAAUCAUUUCCCCAACUGGGCUACUUUUGUGGUUGUUCUUCAUUUCUAAAUGACGGUAUUAUUUUUAUAUUUUUAUAAAGAAUUAAUCAAAAAUCAUCUCGCCAUAUUGAUGUAAUUGCUGACCCAUGUCCAUCUUAAGUGACUUACUUCACAAUAAAUCUUUCUCAAAUGCUCACAUUUUUACCAUGUUUCCAAAAUGCUGUUGAAAUCUCAGAUGCUAUGCAUAUAAUCACCAGUUCUCCUUGAUGUAGCCUGCAUAAUCUGUAGUAAUUGGCUUUGAAUAAUAAAG